rnacentral:lncRNA from 12 species
AUGGGCAAGACAAUCUCAGCCCAGCCAGCAGCCGGCCCCAUUGUCUGCAUCAGUCUUACUGCAUUACCUAUUUAUUAUAUUCCUGGCCUUUCCAACAGACCUCAAGCCAAAGCACCUGUGCAGCCCGUCUCUCCUGCAUCCCUUCCUAAAAGAACCCAAACCUCGGCUCUCUUGCAAGCAAAGCACAAGCCUUCCAGGUGGACAGAGAGCUGCUGCAUCGCUCCUAGAUUUUCACACACCCUGACGCCCACUCCCAGAAUAACCUUGGCCCCUGCAUUCAUUUCUCUGGACCUUAGUCUUCUCACCCGUAAAACAGGCACACGCGCCCCAGGACACACCAGCAGUUGUUCUAAAGUCCAAAGUCAGAGGAAGGUAGAAAGGGAAUGGGCAAUCAUUCAAAACAUGCUAUAUCUGGGUCUUAGCAUUCACAUGAUCUCAUUCAUCUUCAUGACAGCCCUGCUGCAGAAGAACUGUGUCCAUUUUACAGAUGAGGGAACUAAGGCCCAAAAGUCACCUAGAUAUGGAAAGUUUCAACAUUCUUGAGCCUGCUUGAGUGAGGGAUGUAGAAUCAUUCCCUGCGGGGCCCUUGCCCAGCUGAGAAGCUGAGAUGACCACAGGGGAACCAGCCAGUCUUGACCAAACUCACCAAAGAAGUGGAGCACGCAAGGACCCAGCCUGGGGGUAUUGGGCAGAAGAGGAGCCCUAGCCCCUCUUGGAGCUCCACCCCCAAGGAAUCGGGUCCUGGUGAUUCCUGACCCACUGGGCACUCAGCUGCUCCUGACGGCCGCUUCAGGCCCCAGGGAGAGGCUCCACAGAUCUGGGACACCCUUGGGGAAUAAUAGGGAAAAAAGGCAGGUCAGGUAUGCCCAGCCCGGGACCUCAGGGGCGGGGACUAUGGUCAGGCUUCAGGGGAAGGAGGUGGGGCCCAGGACUUGACCACAGCAGGGCAGUUGGCAGAUGUCACUCUGAGGGAGCUCCCCAGGAGUAACAGCCAUGGGCUCUGGAGAGGGCUGGGCACUGGGUGCAGGGACCAGAGAAGGCCCAGGCAGAGGACAGGGCCAUCUGGGCCAGGCACACUGGGAAGCCGCUGCCAACAAGAGGCACUGGGCCCUCUCCAGAAAGUUCAAGCCGAGCUUCCACCCUGAGAGCAUAUGAGGCCAUGAUGGGCUGUGAGGUCCCUGUUGGAGCAGAACCCCUACUGCAGCUGAGUCUGGCCGUGGGUGCCCAUGGCCCCCUGUCCCCAACGUGGCACCACCGAGCAGAGCCCUAGCAGGAAGAAGUUGCAUGUCCAGCUUUUGAAGCCUAUGAGACAGGUAAGGAGCCAAAAGAGUCAUGGUGGGAAUAUAUGGAGUUCCCUGAGUGGGGAGCCAGGAGUGGGCAUCCAAGAAGAGAGCAGUGGUGAAGGGAAGUAGGGGGUGAAGGAAGAAUCAGCCAGAGAGAAGGGGUCUGGGCANNNNNNNNNNCGGAGUUCCCUGAGUGGGGAGCCAGGAGUGGGCAUCCUGUAAGAGAGCAGUGGUGAAGGGAAGUAGGGGGUGAAGGAUUUUUCAGCCAGAGAGAAGGGGCCUGGGCAGACACUAGCUGUGUUUAAUGUGUUGAUAUUUGUCCUGCGUGGAUUUUUUUUUGCACGAAUUUUUAGCUUUGAGUAUUGUAUGAAAAUAUUAUUUAUCUUGAUUAUUGCAUUUUUGGCAUCUCUUACAUUUUGCACUAGUGCCACCUUUGCCUCACCCUUGUCCUCUGGGUAGGGCAGAAACACGGAGGCAGGAGCAAGAUGUGCCCAGUCGGUACUAAUCGUUUUAAGGGCAGAACAUUUCUCUCUGUGGCCAUGCAAGUCAGAUCCUGGUGUUAUCCCCAUCUUGCAGAGUAAUAUAGAGGUCCAGAGAGGUAGGUUGACCUCCCCAAGGUCACGCAGCACGGAGGCACGGUCUCAAGACUAUAAGAAGUCAGAGAACUGAACACUGUGAUCUCAUCAGCAUGUCCUGUGUGGGAAUAAAAUGGUGCAAUAGCAGAGAUGAUCUGCA